ensembl:snRNA U2 U2 spliceosomal RNA
AUCGCUUCUCAUGCCUUUUGGCUAAGAUCAAGUGUAGUAUCUGUUCUUAUCAGUUUAAUAUCGAUAGCGUCCCCUACCCGGGACCAUAUAUUAAAUUGAUUUUUGGAACUGAGGAGAUGGAAAAGGGCUUGCCCGUCCACUCCACGCAUCGACCUAUUUUACCUCCAGGACAUAGGGACCUGAG